rnacentral:misc_RNA from 1 species
ACCUAAACCUGAUAGCAGCGAGCAUCCCGAUUUUAUCGGGAUAAAGCGAAUAGCAGGGCUUUCG